rnacentral:rRNA from 1 species
GACGAACGCUGGCGGCGUGGAUUAGGCAUGCAAGUCGAACGGUAGGAUACCUUCGGGUAUCUGAGAGUGGCGAACGGGUGAGUAACACGUAGGUGAUCUACCCUCAAGAUUGGGACAACCCAGGGAAACUUGGGCUAAUACCGGAUGUGAGCAACUUUUAGUUGUUUGAAAGGUGGCGUAAGCUGUCGCUUGGGGAUGAGCCUGCGUCCUAUUAGUUAGUUGGUGAGGUAACGGCUCACCUAGGCAAUGAUAGGUAGGCGGCCUUAACGGGUGGUCGCCCACACUGGGAUUGAGAUACGGCCCAGACUCCUACGGGAGGCAGCAGUCGAGAAUAGUCUACAAUGGUCGGAAGACUGAUAGUGCGACGCCGCGUGAACGAUGAAUCCCUUCGGGGUGUAAAGUUCUUUUAUAUGUGAGCAGUGCUUUCUAUGUGAACAGCAUGGGGAGAGAGAUAUUAGCAUAUGAAUAAGCAACGGCUAACUCCGUGCCAGCAGCCG